rnacentral:tRNA from 1 species
GGGGCCUUAGCUCAACGGUCAGAGCAGGCGACUCAUAAUCGCUUGGUUCCGGGUUCGAAUCCCGGAGGCCCCAC